GGUGCAAUCCACCGGACACGAGGUUUCCACCUCCAAGAACCGGGGGGCCACGAGGCGCGGUGGUGUCACCGGCAGGGCUGGGGAGAAAGGACACACCCACACAGCCUUGAAAACGGCUUUCUCCAAAGAUCCGAUGGCUCAGGCCUCCCUUCUGGGGCCAACCUGCCCAGUAGCCCGGGGCUUUUCUUCCCAGAAGCCUGUGAGGUCCAGGGCACCCCACUCUUAGGAAUCCCAAAGCCAGAGCACCCUCUACCGUGGCUCAGCUCAUCACCCACCGUCUGAAGCUCCCUCUCUCACCAAAAGUUCGGAGCCGGCGGGGGGCUGAGGUGUUCACGAGCAGUCUCAGCCCUUGGAGCCGCAGGUCCAGUUCUGUGCGGCAUGAGAAAUGGGCUCCGUGGUCACCUCUGCUGGCCAGCACAGUGGCAGUGACCUCCGUGAGCUCCUCCACUGCGGGCUGCCGGCUCAGCUCCUCCUCCCAGCGGAGCAGCACCACCGUGAGGCUGGUCCGGGGCGACCCACCCUCCACUUGGCAGUGCAGGGUAAGGUUCUGACCCACCGGCUGCCAGGGGGGGAGGGGUGCCAGUUCCACCCGCUCCGGGAGCCCUGAGGGAGAAAGGGAGGAUGGCACUUAGGGGGUCCUGCAACCCAUCCCCCAGGGGUGGGGGUGGAGACAGGGCAGCCCUGCUGAGAACUUUCAGCUUUGAGUUAAUAAACUUAGAGGGCUUAAAACUGGGCCAGUCGAGGUGUCUGCUAUUAUCAUUAGUGCCGUGAUUAUCAUUUCCUAUGUUGUCAGACACCUUGCCAGGUGCUAAACAAAAUUUUCUGUUCUCAAGGAUGUCACAGUUAAUUAAAAAACAAAAUGAGGAAGGAAAGGAUUAACGUUUAUGACUAAGAUAUUAAUAUUAAAAGUUCCUGUUUAUAUAUUUCCUUAGACCUUUAAGGGGUCAACCACCUUCAUGCACACAACAACCUAGUGAAAUCUUCUCUAUUCUC